GGAAGUAAAAGUCGCAACAAGGUCUCCGCUGGUGAACCAGCGGAGGGAUCAUUACUAGAGAGUUGCAAAACUCCUACACCCCUGUGAACCUACCUCUAUUUUCCUUCGGCAGGCAGCCCCAGGGCGGGGCCGUGGUCUGCUACAGCGCAGGCGCCUGCCGGAGACCCCUCAAACUCUUGUUUUACAGGUUGUCUGAGUCUUUAUAAAAUGAAUCAAAACUUUCAACAACGGAUCUCUUGGUUCUG
rnacentral:misc_RNA from 1 species